ensembl:rRNA 5S_rRNA 5S ribosomal RNA
GAAGGGAAGGAUUGCGCCCUAUCGCGUCUGAUCUCGGAAGCUAAGCAGGGUUGGGCCUGGUUAGUACUUGGAUGGGAGACUAAAAUUACCUUGUUGCUUCUCUAUU